AAGCGUGCGCAGGCGGUUAUGUAAGACAGAUGUGAAAUCCCCGGGCUCAACCUGGGAACUGCAUUUGUGACUGCAUGGCUAGAGUACGGUAGAGGGGGAUGGAAUUCCGCGUGUAGCAGUGAAAUGCGUAGAUAUGCGGAGGAACACCGAUGGCGAAGGCAAUCCCCUGGACCUGUACUGACGCUCAUGCACGAAAGCGUGGGGAGCAAACAGGAUUAGAUACCCCGGGU
rnacentral:rRNA from 1 species